rnacentral:tRNA from 1 species
AGGGGUAUCGCCAAGCGGUAAGGCAACGGACUUUGACUCCGUCACACGGUGGUUCGAAUCCACCUACCCCUG